rnacentral:rRNA from 1 species
UAGAGUUUGAUCCUGGCUCAGAGUGAACGCUGGCGGCGUGGAUUAGGCAUGCAAGUCGAGCGAUCGAGAUUUUGAAGCAAUUGAAGUUUUCGGACGGAUGUUGUGAAUUAAUCUUUGAUAGCGGCAAACGGGUGAGUAACACGUGGGUAAUCUGCCCUAGAGAGGAGGAUAGCUCCGAGAAAUCGGAGGUAAUACUCCAUAUAAUCUUACUAUUAAUUUAGUGAGAUGAAAGAUGGCUUAGGACUUCGGUCCGCUGUCACUUUAGGAGGAGCCCGCGGCCUAUCAGGUAGUUGGUAGAGUAAGAGCCUACCAAGCCAAAGACGGGUAGCUGGCAUUAGCGCGUGGUCAGCCACAUCGGGACUGAGACACUGCCCGGACUCCUACGGGAGGCUGCAGUCGAGAAUCUUUCCCAAUGGGCGAAAGCCUGAGGAUGCGACGCCGCGUGGGGGAUGAAGGCUUUCGAGUUGUAAACUCCUUUUGUUGAGGAGGAACACUGUUAAAUUAAUAGUUUUUCAGUUUGACUGUACUUAACGAAUAAGCCACGGCUAACUCCGUGCCAGCAGCCGCGGUAAUACGGAGGUGGCUAGCAUUACUCGGUAUGACUGGGUGUAAAGGGUCCGUAGGCGGCCAUAUGUGUGGUAGGUGAAAGCUUUCGGCUUAACCGAAAAAUUGCCUAUCAAACUGUAUGGCUUGAGGAUGGAAGAGGAGAGCGGA